GGGCGCCCUCCUUCCCCAGCCCAUUGAAAAGCUCCCAGGUGUUCUGCAUCGCCUAGGGGCUCCUGGGCCCUGGGAAGUCAGAGGCUCUUCCUCCACCACCCGUCAGACCCGAGUUCCUUCCAUCAGACCCGGCAACCUCAGUCAGCAGAAAAUAAUGGCACCGGCUCUUGGGGGCACUAGAGGAAGGUGUCGGCUAACUUGUCCAGACUCCGAAGGUACCCGGUCCGGCGGCCAGGGCUAUUUAUGAGGUUGAGUACGCGAGUGUAUAAUGGAUGGGCUGCAGGAGGCAGCGAGAGCGCGGUCUAUGGCGAGAGGCCAGGCCGUGUGGCAGCAGGAAAGGACCCAGAAAGAGCCGUGGACAGAUCCCGGGUCUGAAGGAGGACACCUCCCGUAAGAAGGGCUAAGAGCUGGGUCUUGUCCGGGGCCACGGCACGGAGUCUCACAGCAGGACGCCUGGUGCUGCGUGCCCAUUGGUGGG